rnacentral:rRNA from 1 species
ACGUACACUCAUACGGGAGGCAGCAGUGGGGAAUUUUGGACAAUGGGCGAAAGCCUGAUCCAGCAAUGCCGCGUGUGUGAAGAAGGCCUUCGGGUUGUAAAGCACUUUUGUCCGGAAAGAAAUCCUUGGCUCUAAUACAGUCGGGGGAUGACGGUACCGGAAGAAUAAGCACCGGCUAACUACGUGCCAGCAGCCGCGGUAAUACGUAGGGUGCGAGCGUUAAUCGGAAUUACUGGGCGUAAAGCGUGCGCAGGCGGUUUGCUAAGACCGAUGUGAAAUCCCCGGGCUCAACCUGGGAACUGCAUUGGUGACUGGCAGGCUAGAGUAUGGCAGAGGGGGGUAGAAUUCCACGUGUAGCAGUGAAAUGCGUAGAGAUGUGGAGGAAUACCGAUGGCGAAGGCAGCCCCCUGGGCCAAUACUGACGCUCAUGCACGAAAGCGUGGGGAGCAAACAGGAUUAGAAACCCUAGUAGUCCCAUGAU